rnacentral:rRNA from 1 species
CCUACGGGAGGCUGCAGUAGGGAAUAUUGCUCAAUGGGGGAAACCCUGAAGCAGCAACGCCGCGUGGAGGAUGAAGGUUUUCGGAUUGUAAACUCCUUUUGUUAGAGAAGAUAAUGACGGUACCUGACUAAGAAGCACCGGCUAAAUACGUGCCAGCAGCCGCGGUAAUACGUAUGGUGCAAGCGUUAUCCGGAUUUACUGGGUGUAAAGGGAGCGCAGGCGGCACGCUAAGCCUGAUGUGAAAACCCGCGGCCCAACCGCGGGAGUGCAUUGGGAACUGGCGAGCUGGAGUACCGGAGGGGCAGGCGGAAUUCCUAGUGUAGCGGUGAAAUGCGUAGAUAUUCGGAGGAACACCGGUGGCGAAGGCGGCCAACUGGGCUUUAACUGACGCUGAGGCUCGAAAGUGUGGGGAGCAAACAGGAUUAGAUACCCGAGUAGUC